AUGGCCGGCAACGAGUGGAUCAACGGAUACCUUGAGGCGAUACUCGACAGCGGUGCGUCUGGUGGGGGAGGCGGAGGCGGAGGCGGUGGCGGCUCCGGUGGCGGCGGCGGCGGCGCCGGCGUGGGUGACCCGAAGUCGUCGUCGAGCCCCCGCGGGCCGCACACGAUAUUCAACCCCACAACGUACUUCGUGGAGGAGGUGGUGAAGGGCGUCGACGAGAGUGACCUCCACCGGACAUGGAUCAAGGUCGUGGCAACCCGCAACGCCCGCGAGCGGAGCAGCCGCCUCGAGAACAUGUGCUGGCGCAUCUGGCACCUCGCCCGCAAGAAGAAGCAGCUGGAAAUUGAGGGCAUCCAGAGGAUGUCGGCUCGGCAGAAGGAACAGGAGCAGGUCCGCCGCGAGGCCACGGAGGACCUGUCGGAAGAUCUCGACGAGGGCGAGAAGGGGGACAUCGUCGGCGAGCUGAUGCCGUCAGGGACCCCCAAGAAGAAGUUCCAGAGGAAUUUCUCGGACCUCAGUGUCUGGUCGGACGAGAAUAAGGAGAAGAAGCUCUACAUUGUGCUCAUCAGUGUGCACGGUCUUGUCCGUGGAGAAAACAUGGAACUGGGUAGUGAUUCAGAUACUGGAGGGCAGGUGAAAUAUGUUGUGGAACUUGCGAGAGCGCUUGCAAUGAUGCCUGGAGUGUACAGAGUAGACCUGUUUACUCGCCAAGUCUCGUCCCCCGACGUGGACUGGAGCUACGGGGAGCCAACAGAGAUGUUAACCUCCGGUUCCCACGACGCAGAGGGGAGCGGUGAGAGUGCCGGGGCAUACAUUGUGCGCAUCCCUUGCGGCCAGAGUAACAAGUACAUCAAGAAGGAGUCCCUGUGGCCUUACCUCCAAGAGUUUGUUGAUGGAGCCCUUGCGCACAUUCUGAACAUGUCCAAGGUUUUGGGCGAACAGGUAGGCCAUGGGAAGCCAGUGCUGCCUUAUGUGAUCCAUGGCCACUAUGCCGACGCUGGCGAUGUCGCUGCCCUUCUUUCUGGUGCGCUGAAUGUGCCGAUGGUGCUCACUGGUCACUCGCUUGGGAGGAACAAGCUGGAGCAGAUUAUGAUGCAAGGUCGCAUGUCCAAGGAGGAGAUUGACGCAACCUACAAGAUCAUGAGGCGUAUUGAGGGAGAGGAGCUGGCCUUGGAUGCAGCAGAGCUUGUGAUUACUAGCACCAGGCAGGAGAUCGAUGAGCAGUGGGGAUUGUAUGAUGGCUUUGAUGUCAAGCUCGAGAAAGUGCUGCGGGCACGGACAAGACGCGGGCUCAGCUGCCAUGGCCGUUUCAUGCCUAGGAUGAUGGUGAUUCCUCCUGGGAUGGAUUUCAGCAAUGUUGUGGUUCAAGAUAUCGAUGGAGAUGGCGAUAAAGAUGAUAUCAAUUUGGAUGCUGCAUCACCGAGAUCACUACCCCCAAUCUGGGCUGAGGUGAUGCGGUUCCUGACCAAUCCUCACAAGCCAAUGAUCCUGGCGCUGUCAAGGCCUGAUCCGAAGAAGAACAUCACUACUCUUGUCAAAGCAUUUGGAGAAUGCCGCCCAUUGAGGGAACUUGCAAACUUAGUUCUGAUCAUGGGGAACAGAGAUGACAUCGAAGAGAUGCCUCCCGGCAAUGCAAAUGUCCUCACCACUGUCUUGAAGCUGGUUGACAAGUAUGAUCUGUACGGAAGUGUGGCCUUCCCCAAGCAUCACAAGCAGGCCGACGUCCCCGAGAUUUAUCGCCUCACAGCCAAGACGAAGGGUGUAUUCAUCAAUCCUGCUCUUGUCGAGCCUUUCGGCCUUACACUAAUCGAGGCUGCGGCGCACGGACUCCCGAUCGUCGCCACCAAGAACGGCGGUCCGGUCGACAUUACAAAUGCACUAAACAGUGGGCUGCUAGUGGAUCCGCACGACCAGCACGCCAUCGCGGACGCGCUGCUGAAGCUGGUGGCCGACAAGAACCUGUGGCAUGAGUGCCGGAAGAACGGGCUGCGCAACAUCCACCUCUACUCGUGGCCGGAGCACUGCCGGACGUACCUCGCCAGGGUGGCCGGGUGCCGGAUCAGGAAUCCGCGCUGGCUCAAGGACACGCCGGCGGACGCUGGUGCUGACGACGAGGCCGAGGACUCGCUCAUGGAAUUCCAGGACCUAUCGCUCCGCCUGUCCAUCGACGGUGAGCGAGGCUCCACUAACGAGCCCGCCUCGUCGGACCCGCAGGACCAGGUGCAGAAGAUCAUGAACAAGCUCCACCAGUCGUCUUCUGCAGCUCCAGAUGCUGGCACGGACAAGAAUCCAGCCGCCGCUGGCACCGUGAACAAGUACCCGCUCCUGCGCCGCCGCCGCCGGCUGUUUAUCGUGGCCGUGGACUGCUAUGGUGAUGACGGACGCGCCAGCAAGAAGAUGUUGCAGGUGAUCCAGGAGGUGUUCAGGGCGAUCCGGUCCGACACCCAAUUGUCCAAGAUCUCUGGGUUCGCGCUGUCGACGGCGAUGCCGCUGUCCGAGACGCUCCAGCUCCUGCAGAUGGGGAAGGUUCCCCCAACCGACUUUGACGCACUCAUCUGCGGUAGUGGCAGUGAGGUGUACUACCCGGGCUCGGCACAGUGCUUGGAUGCCCAGGGGAAGCUCCAGCCUGACCAGGACUACCUGCAGCACAUCAACCACCGGUGGUCUCACGACGGCGCCAGGCAGACCAUAGGGAAGCUCAUGGCCUCACAGGACGGCUCCGGCAAUGUCGUCGAGCCUGACGUGGAGUCCUGCAAUGCGCAUUGCGUCUCCUUCUUCGUCAAGGACCCCAAGAAGGUGCGAACUAUCGAUGAGAUGCGGGAGAGGCUGAGGAUGCGUGGCCUCCGGUGCCACCUCAUGUACUGCCGGAACUCAACGAGGAUGCAUGUUGUCCCGCUCAUGGCAUCAAGGUCACAAGCACUCAGGUACCUCUUUGUGCGCUGGGGCCUGCCCGUGGGGAACAUGUACCUGGUCCUCGGGGAACAUGGCGACACCGACCGUGAGGAGAUGCUUUCAGGACUACACAAGACGGUGAUCGUCAAAGGCGUCACCGAGAAAGGCUCCGAGGACCUGCUGAGGAGCUCAGGGAGUUACCACAAGGAAGACGUCGUCCCGUCCGAUAGCCCAUUGGCUACCACCACGCGCGGCGAUCUGAAGUCCGAUGAGAUCCUGCGGGCUCUCAAGGAGGUCUCCAAGGCUUCCAGCGGCUGA
rnacentral:rRNA from 1 species